rnacentral:rRNA from 1 species
AUGUCUGGGAAACUGCCUGAUGGAGGGGGAUAACUACUGGAAACGGUGGCUAAUACCGCAUAACGUCGCAAGACCAAAGAGGGGGACCUUCGGGCCUCUUGCCAUCAGAUGUGCCCAGAUGGGAUUAGCUUGUUGGUGAGGUAACGGCUCACCAAGGCGACGAUCCCUAGCUGGUCUGAGAGGAUGACCAGCCACACUGGAACUGAGACACGGUCCAGACUCCUACGGGAGGCAGCAGUGGGGAAUAUUGCACAAUGGGCGCAAGCCUGAUGCAGCCAUGCCGCGUGUAUGAAGAAGGCCUUCGGGUUGUAAAGUACUUUCAGCGGGGAGGAAGGUGUUGUGGUUAAUAACCGCAGCAAUUGACGUUACCCGCAGAAGAAGCACCGGCUAACUCCGUGCCAGCAGCCGCGGUAAUACGGAGGGUGCAAGCGUUAAUCGGAAUUACUGGGCGUAAAGCGCACGCAGGCGGUCUGUCAAGUCGGAUGUGAAAUCCCCGGGCUCAACCUGGGAACUGCAUUCGAAACUGGCAGGCUUGAGUCUUGUAGAGGGGGGUAGAAUUCCAGGUGUAGCGGUGAAAUGCGUAGAGAUCUGGAGGAAUACCGGUGGCGAAGGCGGCCCCCUGGACAAAGACUGACGCUCAGGUGCGAAAGCGUGGGGAGCAAACAGGAUUAGAUACCCUGGUAGUCCACGCCGUAAACGAUGUCUACUUGGAGGUUGUGCCCUUGAGGCGUGGCUUCCGGAGCUAACGCGUUAAGUAGACCGCCUGGGGAGUACGGCCGCAAGGUUAAAACUCAAAUGAAUUGACGGGGGCCCGCACAAGCGGUGGAGCAUGUGGUUUAAUUCGAUGCAACGCGAAGAACCUUACCUGGUCUUGACAUCCACAGAACUUUCCAGAGAUGGACUGGUGCCUUCGGGAACUGUGAGACAGGUGCUGCAUGGCUGUCGUCAGCUCGUGUUGUGAAAUGUUGGGUUAAGUCCCGCAACGAGCGCAACCCUUAUCCUUUGUUGCCAGCGGUCCGGCCGGGAACUCAAAGGAGACUGCCAGUGAUAAACUGGAGGAAGGUGGGGAUGACGUCAAGUCAUCAUGGCCCUUACGACCAGGGCUACACACGUGCUACAAUGGCGCAUACAAAGAGAAGCGACCUCGCGAGAGCAAGCGGACCUCAUAAAGUGCGUCGUAGUCCGGAUUGGAGUCUGCAACUCGACUCCAUGAAGUCGGAAUCGCUAGUAAUCGUGGAUCAGAAUGCCACGGUGAAUACGUUCCCGGGCCUUGUACACACCGCCCGUCACACCAUGGGAGUGGGUUGCAAAAGAAGUAGGUAGCUUAACCUUCGGGAGGGCGCUUACCACUUUGUGAUUCAUGACUGGGGUGAAGUCGUAACAAGGUAACCGUAGGGGAACCUGCGGUUGGAUCACCUCCUUA